rnacentral:rRNA from 1 species
AUUGAACGCUGGCGGCAGGCCUAACACAUGCAAGUCGAGCGGAUGAAGGGAGCUUGCUCCUGGAUUCAGCGGCGGACGGGUGAGUAAUGCCUAGGAAUCUGCCUGGUAGUGGGGGAUAACGUCCGGAUACGGGCGCUAAUACCGCAUACGUCCUGAGGGAGAAAGUGGGGGAUCUUCGGACCUCACGCUAUCAGAUGAGCCUAGGUCGGAUUAGCUAGUUGGUGGGGUAAAGGCCUACCAAGGCGACGAUCCGUAACUGGUCUGAGAGGAUGAUCAGUCACACUGGAACUGAGACACGGUCCAGACUCCUACGGGAGGCAGCAGUGGGGAAUAUUGGACAAUGGGCGAAAGCCUGAUCCAGCCAUGCCGCGUGUGUGAAGAAGGUCCUCGGAUUGUAAAGCACUUUAAGUUGGGAGGAAGGGCAGUAAGUUAAUACCUUGCUGUUUUGACGUUACCAACAGAAUAAGCACCGGCUAACUUCGUG